rnacentral:misc_RNA from 1 species
AGUAACGGCGAGUGAAGCGGCAACAGCUCAAAUUUGAAAUCUGGCUCUCGGGCCCGAGUUGUAAUUUGUAGAGGAUGCUUUUGGUGAGGUGCCUUCCGAGUUCCCUGGAACGGGACGCCAUAGAGGGUGAGAGCCCCGUCUGGUUGGACACCGAUCCUCUGUAAAGCUCCUUCGACGAGUCGAGUAGUUUGGGAAUGCUGCUCUAAAUGGGAGGUAUAUGUCUUCUAAAGCUAAAUACCGGCCAGAGACCGAUAGCGCACAAGUAGAGUGAUCGAAAGAUGAAAAGAACUUUGAAAAGAGAGUUAAACAGUACGUGAAAUUGUUGAAAGGGAAGCGCUUGUGACCAGACUUGGGCUUGGUUGAUCAUCCGGGGUUCUCCCCGGUGCACUCUUCCGGCCCAGGCCAGCAUCAGUUCGCCCUGGGGGACAAAGGCUUCGGGAAUGUGGCUCUCUCCGGGGAGUGUUA